rnacentral:rRNA from 1 species
AGAGUUUGAUCCUGGCUCAGGACGAACGCUGGCGGCGUGCCUAAUACAUGCAAGUCGAACGAAGCUUUCUUUCACCGAAUGCUUACAUUCACCGAAAGAAGCUUAGUGGCGAACGGGUGAGUAACACGUAGGCAACCUGCCUAAAAGAGGGGGAUAACACUUGGAAACAGGUGCUAAUACCGCAUAACCAUGAACACCGCAUGAUGUUCAUGUAAAAGACGGCUUUUGCUGUCACUUUUGGAUGGGCCUGCGGCGUAUUAACUUGUUGGUGGGGUAACGGCCUACCAAGGUGAUGAUACGUAGCCGAACUGAGAGGUUGAUCGGCCACAUUGGGACUGAGACACGGCCCAAACUCCUACGGGAGGCAGCAGUAGGGAAUCUUCCACAAUGGACGAAAGUCUGAUGGAGCAACGCCGCGUGAAUGAAGAAGGCCUUCGGGUCGUAAAAUUCUGUUGUCAGAGAAGAACGUGCGUGAGAGUAACUGUUCACGUAUUGACGGUAUCUGACCAGAAAGCCACGGCUAACUACGUGCCAGCAGCCGCGGUAAUACGUAGGUGGCGAGCGUUGUCCGGAUUUAUUGGGCGUAAAGGGAACGCAGGCGGUCUUUUAAGUCUGAUGUGAAAGCCUUCGGCUUAACCGAAGUAGUGCAUUGGAAACUGGAAGACUUGAGUGCAGAAGAGGAGAGUGGAACUCCAUGUGUAGCGGUGAAAUGCGUAGAUAUAUGGAAGAACACCAGUGGCGAAAGCGGCUCUCUGGUCUGUAACUGACGCUGAGGUUCGAAAGCGUGGGUAGCAAACAGGAUUAGAUACCCUGGUAGUCCACGCCGUAAACGAUGAGUGCUAAGUGUUGGAGGGUUUCCGCCCUUCAGUGCUGCAGCUAACGCAUUAAGCACUCCGCCUGGGGAGUACGGUCGCAAGACUGAAACUCAAAGGAAUUGACGGGGGCCCGCACAAGCAGUGGAGUAUGUGGUUUAAUUCGACGCAACGCGAAGAACCUUACCAAGUCUUGACAUCCCUUGACAGGCAUAGAAAUAUGUUUUCUCUUCGGAGCAAGGAGACAGGUGGUGCAUGGUUGUCGUCAGCUCGUGUCGUGAGAUGUUGGGUUAAGUCCCGCAACGAGCGCAACCCUUAUGGUCAGUUACUACGCAAGAGGACUCUGGCCAGACUGCCGUUGACAAAGCGGAGGAAGGUGGGGAUGACGUCAAAUCAUCAUGCCCUUUAUGACUUGGGCUACACACGUACUACAAUGGCGUUAAACAAAGAGAAGCAAGACCGCGAGGUGGAGCAAAACUCAGAAACAACGUCCCAGUUCGGACUGCAGGCUGCAACUCGCCUGCACGAAGUCGGAAUUGCUAGUAAUCGUGGAUCAGCAUGCCACGGUGAAUACGUUCCCGGGCCUUGUACACACCGCCCGUCACACCAUGAGAGCCGGGGGGACCCGAAGUCGGUAGUCUAACCGCAAGGAGGACGCCGCCGAAGGUAAAACUGGUGAUUGGGGUGAAGUCGUAACAAGGUA